AUUGAACGCUGGCGGCAGGCUUAACACAUGCAAGUCGAGCGGGGACUUCGGUCCUAGCGGCGAACGGGUGAGGAAUGCUUGGGAAUCUGCCCAGUAGUGGGGGAUAACGUUUCGAAAGGAACGCUAAUACCGCAUACGUCCUACGGGAGAAAGGGGGGGAUCUUCGGACCUCUCGCUAUUGGAUGAGCCCAAGUCGGAUUAGCUAGUUGGUGAGGUAAAGGCUCACCAAGGCGACGAUCCGUAGCUGGUCUGAGAGGAUGAUCAGCCACACUGGAACUGAGACACGGUCCAGACUCCUACGGGGGGCAGCAGUGGGGAAUAUUGGACAAUGGGCGAAGGCCUGAUCCAGCCAUGCCGCGUGUGUGAAGAAGGCCUUUUGGUUGUAAAGCACUUUAAGCGAGGAGGAGGCUACCUGGAUUAAUACUCUAGGAUAGUGGACGUUACUCGCAGAAUAAGCACCGGCUAACUCUGUGCCAGCCGCCGCAGUAACAC
rnacentral:rRNA from 1 species